rnacentral:lncRNA from 1 species
AUGGCUGCGAAGGAAAGUUGCGAGCGUGGCUGUGAGGUUCUGACUUGAAAACCUGAAAACUGCGCGAAAACCAAGGACCAUGGCCGCCGUGUUGAAGAAACGGGCAUUAGCGGAGUUUAGUCAAGUUUUGCAGGAGGAGCCGCCUAAACCACUAAAAAAGUUAUGCAUAUCCAAGAAGCCGGCACCCCAAAGGACUGUCGAUGUCGCCGAAGUUCUGCAGUCAGGCAGCUCGUCGGAUGUGAUCAUGAUGCUGAUCCAGUUAUCGGAGUGCCUGCCGACACAGUCAGAAGAGGUGCAGAG